GGUGAGUAAUGUAUAGGAUCUACCUAGUAGUACGGAAUAAUUGUUGGAAACGACAACUAAUACCGUAUACGCCCUACGGGGGAAAAAUUUAUUGCUAUUAGAUGAGCCUAUAUUAGAUUAGCUAGUUGGGGGGGUAAUAGCCUACCAAGGUAAUGAUCUAUAGCUGAUCUGAGAGGAUGAUCAGCCACACUGGAACUGAGAUACGGUCCAGACUCCUACGGGAGGCAGCAGUGGGGAAUAUUGGACAAUGGGCGAAAGCCUGAUCCAGCCAUGCCGCAUGAGUGAAGAAGGCCUUUGGGUUGUAAAGCUCUUUUAGUGAGGAAGAUAAUGACGGUACUCACAGAAGAAGUCCUGGCUAACUCCGUGCCAGCAGCCGCGGUAAUACGGAGAGGGCUAGCGUUAUUCGGAAUUAUUGGGCGUAAAGGGCGCGUAGGCUGGUUAAUAAGUUAAAAGUGAAAUCCCGAGGCUUAACCUUGGAAUUGCUUUUAAAACUAUUAAUCUAGAGAUUGAAAGAGGAUAGGGGAAUUCCUGAUGUAGAGGUAAAAUUCGUAAAUAUUAGGAGGAACACCAGUGGCGAAGGCGUCUAUCUGGUUCAAAUCUGACGCUGAAGCGCGAAGGCGUGGGGAGCAAACAGGAUUAGAUACCCUGGUAGUCCACGCUGUAAACGAUGAAUGUUAAAUAUGGGGAGUUUACUUUCUGUAUUACAGCUAACGCGUUAAACAUUCCGCCUGGGGACUACGGUCGCAAGAUUAAAACUCAAAGGAAUUGACGGGGACCCGCACAAGCGGUGGAGCAUGUGGUUUAAUUCGAUGCAACGC
rnacentral:rRNA from 1 species